GAUGAACGCUGGCGGCGUGCUUAACACAUGCAAGUCGAACGAUGAAGCCCAGCUUGCUGGGUGGAUUAGUGGCGAACGGGUGUGUAACACGUGAGUAACCUGCCCUUAACUCUGGGAUAAGCCUGGGAAACUGGGUCUAAUACCGGAUAGGAGCGCCUACCGCAUGGUGGGUGUUGGAAAGAUUUAUCGGUUUUGGAUGGACUCGCGGCCUAUCAGCUUGUUGGUGAGGUAAUGGCUCACCAAGGCGACGACGGGUAGCCGGCCUGAGAGGGUGACCGGCCACACUGGGACUGAGACACGGCCCAGACUCCUACGGGAGGCAGCAGUGGGGAAUAUUGCACAAUGGGCGAAAGCCUGAUGCAGCGACGCCGCGUGAGGGAUGACGGCCUUCGGGUUGUAAACCUCUUUCAGUAGGGAAGAAGCGAAAGUGACGGUACCUGCAGAAGAAGCACCGGCUAACUACGUG
rnacentral:rRNA from 1 species